rnacentral:rRNA from 1 species
UACGUAGGGUGCAAGCGUUGUCCGGAAUUAUUGGGCGUAAAGAGCUCGUAGGCGGCUUGUCGCGUCGGCUGUGAAAACCCGGGGCUCAACCCCGGGCCUGCAGUCGAUACGGGCAGGCUAGAGUCCGGUAGGGGAGACUGGAAUUCCUGGUGUAGCGGUGAAAUGCGCAGAUAUCAGGAGGAACACCGGUGGCGAAGGCGGGUCUCUGGGCCGAUACUGACGCUGAGGAGCGAAAGCGUGGGGAGCGAACAGG